GACGAACGCUGGCGGCGUGCUUAACACAUGCAAGUCGAACGGAAAGGCCCUGCUUUUGUUGGGUGCUCGAGUGGCGAACGGGUGAGUAACACGUGAGUAACCUGCCCUUUACUUUGGGAUAACUUCAGGAAACUGGGGCUAAUACCUGAUAGGAGCUCCUGCUGCAUGGUGGGGGUUGGAAAGUUUCGGCGGUUGGGGAUGGACUCGCGGCUUAUCAGCUUGUUGGUGGGGUAGUGGCUUACCAAGGCUUUGACGGGUAGCCGGCCUGAGAGGGUGACCGGCCACAUUGGGACUGAGAGACGGCCCAGACGCAUACGGGAGGCAGCAGUGGGGAAUAUUGUACAAUGGGCGGAAGCCUGAUGAAGAAACGCCGCGUGCGGGAUGACGGCCUUCGGGUUGUAAACCGCUUUCGCCUGUGACGAAGCGUGAGUGACGGUAAUGGGUAAAGAAGCACCGGCUAACUACGUG
rnacentral:rRNA from 1 species